CUGCAUUCUAAACCCUCCUGGCAGCCCUGCCAUUGGCUUCCAGGAUAAGAAUGAAUGCUAGAGAAAACUGUUGAUUAAUCCAAAAUGUAGAGCUCUUCCCCAUGGCUCCUCAUUAUUUCACAUCUUCAACAUUU